rnacentral:misc_RNA from 1 species
GCUUAACAGAAAGAAAAAUAAAUGAUUAAACUCACUAAGCAUUUCUUCUGCAACUAACCUCAGCUACUUAGAGGGACAUUCUUAGCAUGCAAAGCAUGCAUGUGAAAAUUAAAACAGGAUAACACAUCAUAAUACUGCAUUAAAAUCGGUAUUGAAUCCUUACAAAGAAAAAUUAAUAAAUAAAUGCACGUCCAACAUUCGACUCUUUCAGUGCAGCUAUCAGGCAUGCCUGACAAAGCAUGAAACAAUUUGCUGAACAAAGCAGAUGAAAAUAUGUCCCUAGUUUAUUUGCAUUGUAUGUAGGUUUACCCAUUGGUAGUAGAGAUUAAAAGCUCUUGGACAUUGAAAAGGUUUGUACAUGUUACCCUAUUUACACAUAUAGAGUUAUAGACACACCACUGAGACAUUUACGCAUUAAUAGUUUAAUAACAUACAUGGUGCAAUAUUUUCUUAUUAUUAUCCAAUUCCACUGGAUAUUUUAGCAAACUGCAAAUUUUGCAUUCAUAAUGGGCCUGCUUAUAUUAAUGCUUCCUGGAAUAAUUGACCCACAAAAUUUUAUUGAUAAGAAAUAUGCAUUUGUUUGAGUGUGUGUCUGUGUGAGAGAAAAUAUUUUAGAAUGACUUGGUACCAUGCCAACAACGAUUGAAUACCUUAGCAAUGAUGUUGGCCA